rnacentral:lncRNA from 1 species
AACAUUUUAGGUCGCGGCCGGACAGCAAACUGCUCUUUGGCAGGUACAUUAAGAAAAUGGGCAAAACAUGAGUCCUAACGUUAGUGGAAUGGAGGGAGGAACCAUCGACCUAUGACAUUAUUGUUUCAAAAAAGAACCUACCGAAAAAGAAAUUUGAACCUGGGGAUGUUGUGGAUGUCGCCUAUGAGGAUAAAAGUUCACCAGCCACAGUUCUAGACAUUAAAGAGAACAAAGAAACUCUCAGGAGGAGGAUAUUCAGAAGAGGGGAAUUUACAGACGUAGUACAGAAGAAGUUUCCAAACGUACCAAUAAAAUUUAUCAGAGCAGCAGUAAGGGAAAAAGUAAAUGAUGAGCACAAGUUACAAGUAAGGCAAUCAUUUUAAACGCAGCCUGUUCAUUGGAUUCUGGUCUACUUUUUAUUUUUAUUUUUUUUUUUACAAUUUUAAUAAAUAAUUUGUGA